rfam:Salmo salar isolate Sally breed double haploid chromosome ssa15, whole genome shotgun sequence.
UGGCUCAGUUGGUAGAGCAUGGUGUUUGUAAUGCGAGGCUUGUGGGUUCAAUUCCCAU